UAUCAAUGCUCUUUUGUGCGAUUGUGUUAGUGAAAACAAAUUUAUUCGCCAGGUUCGGUUUUUGUCGUUUGUUGUUUUUGUUUUUCAUCGGAUGCGUCGGAUGCUCUACCGCCCUACCACCCUGUCGCCGUAGUUUGACGUUCCAUUUUUGCUGUGCGGUGAGAUAAACCCGAUAAACCGGUAAACUUGCCUAAACUUGUAAAAUUUUGCCUCGCCGAUUCGGUCGCGAUUUAGUGUUAUAACGGAGAAAACUGUUCAAGGUCCAGGAUGCGCUGCACAACAUCGAGACGCUUGUUCGGUUGCACCCGUUGCACCAUCCGAAACUGAAACCACAAACCAACUUGCUCGCCUUGCAGCAGAAGCAGACGAACCAUAAACAGAAGCAUAAUCAGACGGCAUCAACCAGCCGAUCACGCAAUCGGUAACGCCAACAGUCACCAUCCGAAUCCACCGAAGCAGUAGAUACCGUUCCUGGCGGAGGAAGCUAUCUCGCUGGCGUCACAGUUUCUGCAGACUGUUGAGCCCGAUGCAGAAUCUUGUUACGCUGGCGGUAAUAACGCAAACCGUCCCUCCCAAACGCCUACCGCAUCCAUUACCAACGCAGCGACCUCACUGUAGACCGCAGGAACCGAUGACACCACUCUGACGCCGUACGCCGCACUGCCCCAGUUUGGCUCAGCGGCAUCGGCAGCAUUAAUCACAACGCCUUUACCUAAUCCUACGAUGGCACAAACAGUGGCCGCGGCCGCUGGGAAGCAGAUCAAAGAUCCCGUUUGCCAACGUGUUGUCCAAGUGCUUCGGCUUUGUGUCGUUCGACAAUGUGGCCUCGGCACAGUCCGCCAUCCAGGCGAUGUAGGUUUCCAGAUCUGCACCAAGCGGCUGAAAGUAUAUUUCGCAGACGCAGGCUCUCCACCUACAAAGCACAUGCCGAACAGUGCCAGUAAAACAUUAUUCUACCGAGAUGUCGAUUCCACUUAUCCCUUCUGGAGGUUGAACCGCCGGAUGAGCGCGAGACGGAAACCAACAACAAAUGCAAAGAGGCUCGAAAGUACAUCUUUAAUUGUCUAGACGAUAUCGGACAGGUGGACGUGCCAACCGAUAUCGAAGGUGGCCAAUUUCUGGCGGAAAAGACUGACCGGCGGGAGUUAAUCGAUCUGCUGAAGCGAUUGUUAACGAUCGACCAUGAACGGAACCGUCCCUUGGCUCAUCUGGUGGACUCUUCCUUCUACAACAACGUCAAAGCUCCAAAUGAUGAAGGUGUGCCAUAGUAAAAACAACGAUUUACAAAAAACCUAAAUAGUUAUAACUGAAGCGUUUAACCAACGACUGCCACUUUGAUGAUAAACUUCGUUCCAAACGCCAUCACGUUCAACAACUAAGUUCAAUCAUGCGGGAGCCUGGUUCCACAUACGACAACCAUUUGUACCAGAUCUAUCGGGGCCGAAAUGUCGGUGGCCAGUACAGUAACGGUCGGCCGGAUGUUUUCCAGCAUCAGUUGGUGUCCAGCAUCCAGUGCCCAACGAAGCACGCCGCUGUCGAUGCAGCUGCCACUGCAGGUCCCACCUUAGCAGCGUAAUAAUGUUCCUUCGAGCUUGCAGAUGUUGCUGACCAAUGCGGUUCAAACGAAUGUUGCCUGGCCGCCGUGUGGAUGAGUGGUCGCCGUGUGGCAAUUGUGGUAUCGUGGUGAAACCGGACCGCUCUUGCUGAUAGUGGACUCUUCGUCUUUUCUCAAUUCGGAGGAAAUUUAUCCGAAGCUGCAUCUCUACGUUCAGACGCGGCAUCCCGAGCCGAAGAAGGAAUAGUACCGCUUAUCAUUUGGUGUGAGUAUUGUCAACCUCAUCUGAUCCUUGCUAACGCCACGACAAUAAGGAGAACAACCAACCGCGUCAAGGAAAACACCCCUCCCCAGCAGCGGUAUAACAGCGAUCGGAACAAUCACAUGUGCUAGCAGUACCAUGAUGCUGGGGGAUCAUCCUCGUCGUCGUUGUAUCACGACUGCAGCAGCAGUACCAAUUAGUUGAAAAUAUCAUAGCAACAGAUUCCGCCACAGUAGCACCACCGCCACUCAUCCUCAUCGUCACCAUAGCAGCAGCAGCUGGCACAGUCUCAACUGCAACAGACCAGCUGUCAUGGUAAUGGAAAUCACUACCAGCAUAUCGAUUCUUUCUUCUUCGUCGUGCAGGCGGCAGCAAUAGCGGCAUGAUGAUGAGCAGUGACAGCAUACAUCAUGGAUCGAGUAUCGGUUACCAUCUCGGUAACGGCAGCGCAGUUCAUAUAUACUUGUCUUCAUAGCUAAUAGCAAACGAUCACAAUUCACGAUACAGUUUUGUCACGAUGAGAAGUUUUGUCGCUUUAAGUAUCAGGAAUGAUCAAGUUCUUCUUAACAUUAUUUAUUAAAAACUGCUUAAUAAUCUGCUGUUUGCGUGUCACAUUUUAUCUCUAAAAUAUUGGAUUUGGCGCCCAAGUACAAUUUCUAACGCGAAAUGUAAUAAAAACUUUGAUACUGAACUCUUUAAUAAGUCAGUGGCUCUCAGAAAAACCGUUUGCUUUGAACUGUGAACUGGAUGCUAGGUGAUCCAGGGUGGAGCGCGAAACCAAAGCUGUCUUCAUGCUGCCUAUCCGCCGACGUGUGCUGUUUCUCCAAUAACCCAUUGAACCCAAGUCUACCCUUUCCAUCCU